UACAGAGGUGGCAAGCGUUGUUCGGAAUUACUGGGCGUAAAGGGCGCGUAGGCGGCCUUCUAAGUCAGACGUGAAAUCCCCCGGCUUAACCUGGGAACUGCGUCUGAUACUGGAAGGCUUGAGUGCGGGAGAGGGAUGUGGAAUUCCAGGUGUAGCGGUGAAAUGCGUAGAUAUCUGGAGGAACACCGGUGGCGAAGGCGGCAUCCUGGACCGACACUGACGCUGAGGCGCGGAAGCUAGGGUAGCAAACGGG
rnacentral:rRNA from 1 species